UAUUAGGUUGGUGCAAAAGUAAUCGCAGUUUUUGCUAUUGAAAGUAAUGGCAAAAACCGCGAUUACUUUUGCACCAACCUAAUA
rfam:Chlorocebus sabaeus isolate 1994-021 chromosome 27, whole genome shotgun sequence.